UACGGAGGGUGCAAGCGUUGUUCGGAAUUAUUGGGCGUAAAGCGCGUGUAGGCGGUCGUGUAAGUCAGAUGUGGAAUCCUUCCGCUUAACGGGAGAAGUGCAUUUGAAACUGCAUGACUAGAGUACGGGAGAGGAGAGUGGAAUUCCCGGUGUAGAGGUGAAAUUCGUAGAUAUCGGGAGGAACGCCAGUGGCGAAGGCGGCUCUCUGGAUCGAUACUGACGCUGAGACGCGAAAGCGUGGGGAG
rnacentral:rRNA from 1 species